AGCGCUUCUUUACGAACACUUUCCACUCGCGCAGCCGCUUCACUGACGUUGGCCUCAGAACGAAGCGUUCAACGCCGUCGUCUUCCUCUUCCAAGGACCGAAGGUCAAACUGGGAACCUCCACUAGCAAGUACCUUGUGGACGUGCUUCUCGUACAUUUUGCCCGCCAAAGAGUUUGCAACCGCAUGUCCCUGGCAAAAGUCAAAGAAGUCACGCGAAGCCUGAAACCCCUGCUCCUCGAACUUUUCAAAAGCCAACUUCUGGAUGUAGUCCGAGCCAAACACCAAGUGAGCGUGCAGCACCCGGUAACACGCAGGUGUGUUCAAGUCGAAUCUGUCAGUCGUAAGACGGUAGUGGAGCAGAAUAUCAGAAACAUUAGAGACCUUGUCCGAGUUCAUUGCGCAGUCAAGCACUUUCCGCCAGCAUUCCACCCUUGACGCUGCUUGGUGCACCUCCGCUUUGAGCCCGGCCAACGAGAACUUCUCCGUGUUGAAGAGAAGCCUUGGUAGCCCACCACAGUGGUAAAAGCGGAGACCAAUUUCCUCGUCUGUCAUUCCCAGCUCAAGCUCCUCGUUGCACUGCUGCACCUCCUCGAGCGACCAGGCUUCCAGGCGGCAUAUAUAGCCAUGGUCCUUGGAGAACUCGUAGUAGCCAGUGCGAUCCGGUGAGACGCAUUGGAUGAGAGGCCCCAGGUGACUUAUUCCCCUCGAGCCCCCGUCGACGAUGAGCCAGACACUCGUCAUGUCCCACCCCCGCGGUCGUGUAUACCAUUUCGAUUGCAGCACUAGAGGGUCAUCCAGCGAGAAGUCGAAGAAAAAGAAGUCUGGAUUGUCAUCUUUCGUCCUCCAAACUACUUUCUGUCCUUCCUGAGCUCUACUGUGAAAGAAGUAGUGGCCAUAGAACGUCUUGCCGAUACCUGGCGUUGAGACAAUGUGGAAGUUCUUCAACCCUUUCCUCUCAUUCACGACCCUGCUCCACUUCUCCGCAAUGAACUGAUCCAUGAAAAGGUAGUUUGGAUGGACCCAGAGCUUGGACAGGUUGUAAUGGCCCAAGAACCCAGACGGGAUGUGGAGGCAGCGGUCCUGGAGCCUGGCAUGCUUUACCUCCCGGCCGUAGGCAGCGAGAAGAGGAUCUGACACACAGAACUUGUUAGAGAUGAUUCGUCGCGCCUAAACCAUACCGAGCUCUUCGCCCAUCUCGCUGUCGCCCAAAACCUAGAAAGCAGAGCGGAAAAUUGAUAUAAAGAAUAGAAUGCCCUCCUAGGGCAAGGGAUAAAAGGUAUAUUCUUUCUUUAAGAAUAUUCUUUGUUUUGUGCUCUUUUAAUGGGGUGUUUAUCUUAAUCUAUUUUUGUAAAACUAAUAUUUUUUAAUCACGAGCUUAUUUAUAUACUGUGGCUGGUCUGAUGUCGCUUGCUCUGCCUCCCCGGAUGCAUCGCCAUGGAUCUGGCAAGAUCCCAGCAGUAGCAUCACUCGUGAUCGCGGGCUCAAUCGGCAUAUCGCGCACCAGCUCCUCGCGCGGCUGAAUAGAUCUCCGUAGUAGAGCAGCGCUGGAUCGCUGCCGUGAUAGUUCGCCAUGCCCACGAAGUAUCCUCCAAGAGCCCGGCGUGGCGGCACGCCGAGAGGAUGUUCACGAGAUGCACCGCCUGGAAGAGGUCUCUUGCGCGGAUCCAAUCCCCGUGCUGCGUAAAGGAGAUGACGAUCGAGUUCCAGGCGAUAGUGUCGCGAUGGGGGAGAUCCAAGAACACGGCAUGGUGCGAGUAGCGAAUUCGUUACCUGGAUACGAUCGUGGACGCCGCUGGCGAUCGCCCUGGCGUGGAGGAUCCGGCCAUCGGCGAGGCGCGAGCUGGAUUCCAUCGUGCCCGGUCUGGGCAGUGCUGUGAGGAUGCUGCCCCUGGAGAUCACGUUCCGGUGGAUCAUCCUGUGGAAGAUCUCCAGCGCUCGCUCGAUCCGGCCGCUCUUGGCGUGCAGGCCGCAAGACGCGCCUCGAGGUUGCGUGGGCAAUGCGAGGGAUCGCUGGCGAGCGCGUCCAUGAUCGUCAUCAUCGAGGCGGCACUGCUGAAACUCUUCCUUUUUGUUCUUAAGCAUGGAUGCAAGGCUCUUUUCUCGAUCCCAGAGAAUUGCAAGCAGCUAUUGCCGCCGGGAAAGCUCCGACUUUGAUUGCUUUCUAUGCGGAUCAUCACGUCGUCCCCGGACUCUCCGAGCAAUAAAAAGGCCAUGGUGCUCCUUCAGGAGCUCUGUCUUGUUACCUUUCACUUGAGCGAGUUUUUGGUUUUGAUUUUCGCUUAUGUGCAAAGAGGUGACUUAAACGAUCAUGAACAGCGAGAAUUAGGCUUUCCAUGCCAAUGGAGCUGGAAAAGUGGUGAGCAAAUUUCGGAGUAGCAAAUCUUCUUCUAAAAUCAUCCUUGAGAACUUGUUGCUCGCUCUCGCUGCUCGUCCUUGUAUCCUACUUUUUUAGUUAUAGGAAGAGAAAAUCGUGUUUUUCAGGGUAACGCCAUGCUGUAAUCCUCGGAUUGCGGAAAGCAGCUGCGAACAUUGCUGGCGGAACUCAUCACGCAUUUCCUGAGCACGGCGAGGAAUUUCGUAAGUUGUUUCUCUUCAUUUUUGUUCUCUUUUCUUGCCGUGUGAUGGAGAAAACAUAUGUAAUAAUGAUGGAUUCUCCAGAGGUCUCAAGGCUAGGGUUUUCUCCAGCGGUCUUUGUGUAGAGUGGCUAAGUUUGCUUGUGGAAGCGUGACUCUCGACUCAUACAUAUCCAACUUCUUCUCAGGCAAUUCAUCCCUGAAAAGGAUUUCUAUCACGAAGUUGCGGUAUCACAUCUAUCAUAAGCUUCAUGGGACACAAAAUCUCCUUACUUUUCUUUUCUUCAACCUAUCUUGGAACUUCAAGAACGUUCGGCUUGUCCUCGGUUUUGACACUACAGGGAUACACAACAGGCAUGGAGCAGCUUUCCGAGCAUUAGAGCGGGCUCUGCAAGUUUAGAACACACAUCCACAGUGAUUUGACGAACGGGUAGCUAUCAAGCCUGACGCCUUCGAGCAGCAUGGUGCAAAAGAAACGAAGAGCUUCCAGGCACUGUUGGUUCAACGAGUGCAUCGCGUUCCAGUGCUCCAUCUCGUCAAAGACGGCGCUCACGCUCCCGCGUCUCCCAUACAUGUUGACACGUCUGCAGCGGAGCUCCCGAGCUUGGUCGAGAGUGUCCGGCUGGUCGCAAGCUUCAACAAUUUGCUGCAGCGCAAUCCAGACGGACUCCGAGAGCAUCUAGAGACUAAACCACGCCCAAGGUUUAGCAAAGCAGAUAAUAAAUAUCAAACCACACCGCAAAUUAUUUCUUUGAUGCUGAAAAUCAGGACGAAGUCCAUGGAACCGUCAUCACAUACUGAUGAACCCUGUCCAUCCCGGCAACAUCUCUCUGAUGCAUCGAUCCAUCGUCUUUCUUGAAGCCCUGAUACGUGUAUCCCUGAAAGCUAGGCUCGGGAACGACAUAGAUGAGCCUGUACUGCUUGGGACGCACCAGCUUGAGCUUGUCAUGCAACGCAUCCAACCCCUGAACAAGCUCGUGGAUCUGGGACCAAUAGACCGGAUGCGUGGCUGACGUUGUAACCUGGAGAAUUAUGUCCGGAGUGACCAGCGAAUCGAAAGAUUUCUGGUUUGACGCAUAAGGCUCCACGAAGCAACUGUCAGGUAAGCCUGCAAGGCCCCGUGAUUCCUCCGUCCCCGCACGAUAAGCGUCCACAGGACUCACGUCCUUGGCGUAUACGUUGAAACCAGACCCCACGCAGCGCUUCUUUACGAACACUUUCCACUCGCGCAGCCGCUUCACUGACGUUGGCCUCAGAACGAAGCGUUCAACGCCGUCGUCUUCCUCUUCCAAGGACCGAAGAUCAAACUGGGAACCUCCACUAGCAAGUACCUUGUGGACGUGCUUCUCGUACAUUUUGCCCGCCAAGGUGUUUGUAACCGGAUAUCCUCGGCAUAAGUCGAAAAAGUCACGGAAAGCCUGAAACCCCUGCUCCUCAAACCUUUCAAAAGCAAGCUUCUGAAUGCAGUCCGAGCCAAACACCAAGUGAGCGUGCAGCACCCGGUAACACGCAGGUGUGUUCGAGUCGAACCUGUCAGUAAGACGGUAGUGGAGCAGAAUAUCAGAAACAGUGGGGUCCUUGUCCCGAGUGAGUGUGCAGUGGAGCACUUUUCU
rnacentral:lncRNA from 1 species